GGUGGCGUAGCCAAGCGGUAAGGCAGAAGUCUGCAAAACUUCUAUUCGCCGGUUCAAAUCCGGCCGCCACCU
rnacentral:tRNA from 1 species